AGCCUCAGAGAUAGGAGGGAAGGAAAGUCUGGCAGAGAUGCCCACUCUACUCCCAGUUUCCUGUGUAGCUGGUGACUGGAAGAUACUCUGUGACAGUG
rnacentral:snoRNA from 1 species